rnacentral:lncRNA from 1 species
UGAUUGACCAUUGCAAGAUGAUUCUUAAGUUUAGAAAAAAAGUGCAAGAAGACGUUGAAGAGUAUUUCAAUCAUUUUCAAGAUUCAGUUGUAGAUGAUGACUUAGAAACUCUGCAAGUUUCAAGUGAUAUCUUGGAAAACAGUAAAGAUCAAUAGAUCCAGAUAUACCUAAAGACUUGAAUACCAUUCAGAUUGCUGAGUUGAAGAUGAUCAAAGUAGGCGAAGCAAGAGACAAGAAGCCAAAGAAAGCACAAUAAGAUAUUCAAAAGAAGAAUGGGGUGGGUAAAUUUGGGUUAGCAUUGACCGCAAACUUGAUUUGGAAGUUACGAGCAAACUUGAUUUUGGAAGAUGCAAAUUUGAUUGCUGUGAUGGAUGGUGGUCAGUGUGUUGAAUGGGGUCACAUGGUGAACUGAUUAGUGCACAUGGGUUGUAUUCAAAGCUUCUUAGAUGUGAAGAAGUGGUCAAACUUCCUGAAAGGUUACCAAGUAAGAAUGGCAAUGCCAAUGACUCAAAGUUUUCGGUUCGGUCAACAGCUGCUCAACGGUCAGAUCUGGUGCGAUUCUCGGUUUGGGUUUGGGAAAUCUGAGCCAAUCCCCGGUCAGUUUCGCGAUUCUCGGUCAGUUUCAGGUUUUUGGUUUGGGUCGAAAGCAGUCAAAGGACCCGGUUCGGGUUAGCAGCAGUCAAACAAGUCAAAGAUGGUCAACUAAGGACCAGUAAAGUUUAAACGUAGCGAGUUAUUAUUACGUUAGUUUAGAUUUUAUUUAGUUAACGCGCACCGAGCUCGAA